AGUUGUUAGUGUUAACCACAGACAGUGAAGAACAUACUUUCACAUUGAACUGAAUCUAGUAAUCUAGUAUCUAGUAUUACAUUAGCAGCAAUUGGCAAAAGUCUCAUGGUAGCAUCUAAUUUCUCUUGAUGAAGGACUCGUACAGGGAGGUGAGCUGAGCCUGCAGAUCCUGUGCGUAGGGAUCCAGCUUUUCCUUCAGGUCUUCAGCGUAGGGUGUGAGACUCUGCUGGACCAUCUGGGCUCUCUCUCUAAUCUGGGCCUGAAGAUCCUCAGCCAGGGGGGCCACAG